CCUACGGGGGGCAGCAGUGGGGGAUAUUGCACAAUGGGGGGAACCCUGAUGCAGCGACGCCGCGUGGGUGAAGGAGUGCUUCGGCAUGUAAAGCCCUAUCGGCAGGGAAGAAGCAAGACGGUACCUGACUAAGAAGCCCCGGCUAACUAGGUGCCAGCAGCUGCGGUAAUACGUAGGGGGCGAGCGUUAUCCGGAUUCACUGGGUGUAAAGGGAGCGUAGACGGCCAUGCAAGCCAGGGGUGAAAGCCCGGGGCCCAACCCCGGGACUGCCCUUGGAACUGUGCGGCUAGAGUGCGGGAGGGGCAGGCGGAAUUCCUGGUGUAGCGGUGAAAUGCGUAGAUAUCAGGAGGAACACCGGCGGCGAAGGCGGCCUGCUGGACUGCGACUGACGUUGAGGCUCGAAAGCGUGGGGAGCGAACAGGAUUAGAUACCCUUGUAGUC
rnacentral:rRNA from 1 species